rnacentral:rRNA from 1 species
GUACGUGAAAUUGUUGAAAGGGAAACGAUUGAAGUCAGUCGUGCCUGCCUAGAUUCAGCCUUCUGGUGUAUUUCUAGGUCGGCAGGUCAGCAUCAGUUUGGGGGGGUUAACAAGGGAGCUGGGAAUGUGGCAACCUCGGUUGUGUUAUAGCCCAGUUUCGCAUUGAUCUCGCUGGACUGAGGAACGCAGUGCGCCCGCAAGGGUUGGUCUUCGGACACAUUCGCACUUAGGAUGCUGGCAUAAUGGCUUUAAACGACCCGUCUUGUAAC